rnacentral:rRNA from 1 species
AGCGAACGUUUGCGGCGGGCUUAACACAUGCAAGUCGAACGAGAAUCCCUUCGGGGAGGAAAGUGGCGCACGGGUGCGUAACACGUGGAUAACCAACCCAUUGGUUUGGGACAACACCGGGAAACUGGUGCUAAUACCAGAUGUGUCGCAGCUGUCUUCAGGCGGUUGCGAGAAAGGCCCGCAAGGGUCGCCAACGGACGGGUCCGCGUCCCAUCAGCUAGUUGGUGAGGUAAUGGCUCACCAAGGCAAAGACGGGUAGCUGGUCUGAGAGGAUGAUCAGCCACACUGGAACUGAGACACGGUCCAGACUCCUACGGGAGGCAGCAGUGGGGAAUAUUGCGCAAUGGGCGAAAGCCUGACGCAGCCACGCCGCGUGAGCGAUGAAGGUCUUCGGAUCGUAAAGCUCUGUGGGGGGAGAAGAAGAAAGCCGGUGAAGAGCCGGCCCUGACGGUAUCCCCUCAGCAAGCACCGGCUAACUCCGUGCCAGCAGCCGCGGUAA